CUGUCAGAGCUGUCAGCCUGCUUAAACAGGGGAAAAUGGUACAGGCAGAGCUGGUCUGGUAUCAGGAAAAAGGCUGCCUACGAUAAUCCACUGCAGGACCCUAAAAGUCUCAACCUUAGGGCCCCCUCGGACCGUCUCCAAUGUCGGGUCCCGCUGGAGAAGGAGGCAUUUCGAGAGUGUUGGAAACAUUCUUUUGUAAAAUCUACAAAGAAACAUUUUGGAGUCCAUUGAGGCCUUUAGUGAAAAACUGAAUAUUUUGCCUUGAAAACCAGAAACAAGCUAUCUGUGAAAAUGCUUUGUGAUGGAAGAUUUAUCUCACAGAGUUAAACAUUUGUAUUGAUUCAGCUGGCUGGCAACACUCUUUUUGUAAAAUCUACAAUGGGACAUUUCAGAGACCAUUGAGGUCUAUAGAAAAAGACUGAAUAUCCCGUGAUUAAAACUAGAAACAAGCUAUCCAUCAA
rnacentral:lncRNA from 1 species